GUGCUCACUUCGGGAGCCCAUAUACUAAAAUUGGAAUGAUACAGAGAAGAUUAGCAUGGCCCCUGCACAAGGAUGACACGCAAAUUGUUGAAACAUUCCUUAUUUUU
ensembl:snRNA U6 U6 spliceosomal RNA